UGAAUGUUGAAAAGUUAUGCAUCACGCCUAGAAUAGUCUUCACGGAAUAUUUGACACAGUGAAAAAGUAGAACUCACGAAGAGUUGUGUACUGAUGGAAGUAUUUACUCCAUGAGGUAUUGAACAAAAAGCCAUUAGUUCUUACUUUUAGACUUUUCUGAUCAAGACUGAACUAUAACUAAUCCAUUGUCUUCAUUAAGUUGGCAUCUAACAUUUUUAUCUGUAACCCUAUACUUGAUGGUAUAAUGUACCUUAUUUUAGUUGGUCAGUUUCAGGCAGCUGUCUUGUCAAAGGAUCUGUCUGCUGCUUAAUUGAAACAUCUUGUUCAUUCUGAUCUGGAUUUCUAGUAUUUUUAUAGUGAUCUAACAAUAACAGUCCUACCCCCCUGCUAUUGGAACAGUUAAGCCUUCAUUAUCGAUCGCUACAAUGUGGUAAUGGCCUGUUUUCUUUCUUGCUUUUUAAUUUGGAGAAACUGUUGCACUUAAGGUACCCAAAAAAUCGUUGUAGGAGAACUAGUUCAUUUGAACUUAGUCACUCACCUCCUAAUGGGUCUGCAUGUAUUUGAUUGCAUUAGAGAUUAGACCUUGCUACCUCCUUAUGGAGUCUCCAUGGAUAUAAUUGCUACCUUUGUCUUGGACCUCUUGGCAGUGAGGGCAUCUCUCAGCCAUCCAGCCUUAGAAAUGUGACGUAUUCUAUAGAGCAUUGCUCUGUUCAUUUUGUGCUUAAGAAGAUAUUUUGUUUCUUUUUGUAACCAUCAACUUGUCCUCUUGUUUAUCUGAUCUGCCCCAAUACUUUGCCUUGUUCUUCUUUCAUUCUCCUGUACAUGUUUUCUUAAUUUUAUUUGUAGUCCUGUGCACAAAUGCUAUGGUAGUGUUCAAGUGAGCACUUUAUUGACUUGGUAACCUUGCAAUUCUGUAAACUUCUUAUUCUGCUUGGUUUUCAUUAUCUGUGUAAUUAUUGGGCCACAUGCAAGGUACUCUCAUGAGCUGAUUUUUCUUUGUCAUGGGUUAAUGACAAUAGUAGAUGCUGCAGAAGCAGAUGCAGUGGGAGGUAAGCACCCACAUGUUCUAGGUUUGGUUUGAAGUACCCUACCAGUUAGCACCUUAGAGGGCAAAACUGCAUCACAGCAAGUAAAGAAAACAUAUUCAUAUUUGUUAGCUGUUAUCUAACUGCACAUUGUUAUAUUACUGCAGUUAUUUCCUUGAAAUAGUAAUUGGUGUUGUUAUCAAUAAAAUGUAAAUCCAUCAAGUUAAAAGGCAUGGUUGAUUCAGAAAUUGGACAUGUUAAAAUGAGAAUCAUUGCUGGCAUUCUCUAUGCUGAAAUUCAGUUCAUGUUCUUCUGAUUAUUUCCAUUUUUCCAGGAAAACAACAGCAUUGAUGAAUUCCUGUAACUUCAACUUCAACAUCAUCGGGUCCAGAGUAAUGUUGAUGAGAUAACUUGGAUCCUAUCCUCCAAAUAUGUAGGGCUCAAGCAUACAAAGUAUCAACUAUUUUCAUUUGUCCAGGAAAACAACAGCAUUGAUGAAUUCCUGUAACUUCAACAUCAAUACAUCAUCGGGUCCAGAGAAAUGUUGAUGAGAUAACUUGGAUCCUAUCCUCCAAACAUGUAGGGCUCAAGCAUACAAAGAUCGUUCAUACUUUGAAAUGGUAACACGAGUACCUGUACUAUCUGUCCUUUUGUUACAUUAGACCUUUUUCUCGUUUCACUGUUUCAGUUCAUAUAUUGUCAACUAAUUGCUGUGAUGCUUUCUGUGUAAAAACAGUGCAACUUUCAGAAACAGCUGGG
rnacentral:lncRNA from 1 species